rnacentral:rRNA from 1 species
GACGAACGCUGGCGGCGUGCCUAAUACAUGCAAGUCGAACGCAGUGGGGCCGGGUGAGUAACCCGUGGGUAACCUCCCAUACGGGGGGAUAACACUUGGAAACAGGUGCUAAACCGAUACUGAUGGAUGGACCCGGGGUGCAUUAGCUAGGUGGUGGGGUAACGGCGCACCAAGGCGACGAUCCAUAGCCGACCUGAGAGGGUGAUCGGCCACACUGGAACUGAGACACGGCCCAGACUCCUACGGGAGGCAGCAGUAGGGAAUCUUCGGCAAUGGGCGAAAGUCUGACCGAGCAACGCCGCGUGAGUGAAGAAGGUUGUCGGAUCGUAAAGCUCUGUUGUUAGAGAAGCGUUAUCUAACCAGAAAGCAACGGCUAACUACGUGCCAGCAGCCGCGGUAAUAC